rnacentral:rRNA from 1 species
ACGGAGGGUGCGAGCGUUAAUCGGAAUUACUGGGCGUAAAGCGCACGCAGGCGGCUAUAUAAGCCAGAUGUGAAAGCCCCGGGCUUAACCUGGGAGAGUCAUUUGGAACUGUAUAGCUAGAGUUUUGGAGAGGAGAGUGGAAUUCCAGGUGUAGCGGUGAAAUGCGUAGAUAUCUGGAGGAACAUCAGUGGCGAAGGCGGCUCUCUGGCCAAAAACUGACGCUCAUGUGCGAAAGCGUGGGUAGCGAACAGG